CCGAGCUUCUACAAUAAGCAGUCUCCAUCCGAGCUUCUAUAAUAAGCGGUUUCCAUCCGGGCUUCCACGGCAAUCGGUCUCCAUCCGAGCUUCUACAGUAAGCGGCCUCCUUCUAGACUCCUACAAGAACCGGAUUUCGUCCGAACUUCUACAACAUAAUUAGAUUCCAGACGAACUUCUACAACGGACGGGCUCCAUCUCAGUUACAACUGAGUAGUGCUGGAUGCCAAGGAAGGAGUUUGAAUCUUCUAUGGUCUCCACUAUUAUGACCUCCCAGUGAUC
rnacentral:lncRNA from 1 species